AGCGAACGCUGGCGGCAGGCCUAACACAUGCAAGUCGAACGAACCCUUCGGGGUUAGUGGCGGACGGGUGAGUAACACGUGGGAACGUGCCUUUAGGUUCGGAAUAACUCAGGGAAACUUGUACUAAUACCGAAUGUGCCCUUCGGGGGAAAGAUUUAUCGCCUUUAGAGCGGCCCGCGUCUGAUUAGCUAGUUGGUGAGGUAAAGGCUCACCAAGGCUACGAUCAGUAGCUGGUCUGAGAGGAUGACCAGCCACAUUGGGACUGAGACACGGCCCAAACUCCUACGGGAGGCAGCAGUGGGGAAUCUUGCGCAAUGGGCGAAAGCCUGACGCAGCCAUGCCGCGUGGAUGAUGAAGGUCUUAGGGUUGUAAAAUCCUUUCACCGGUGAAGAUAAUGACUGUAGCCGGAGAAGAAGCCCCGGCUAACUUCGUGCCAGCCGCCGCCGUAAGAC
rnacentral:rRNA from 1 species